UAGGGAAUAUUGCACAAUGGGGGAAACCCUGAUGCAGCAACGCCGCGUGAGUGAUGAAGGCCUUCGGGUCGUAAAGCUCUGUCGUAAGGGAAUAAAAAAAUGAAUGUACCUUAUAAGAAAGGGACGGCUAACUUCGUGCCAGCAGCCGCGGUAAGACGAGGGUCCCUAGCGUUGUUCGGAAUCAUUGGGCGUAAAGCGUGUGUAGGCGGCUUCGAAAGUCAGAUGUGAAAGCCCUGGGCUUAACCUAGGAAGUGCAUUUGAUACUACGGAGCUAGAGUAUCGGAGAGGAUAGUGGAAUUCCUGGUGUAGUGGUGAAAUACGUAGAUAUCAGGAGGAACACCGGAGGCGAAGGCGGCUAUCUGGCCGAAUACUGACGUUGAGACACGAAAGCGUGGGGAGCAAACAGG
rnacentral:rRNA from 1 species